CUACGGACUUAGAAAACUGAGCCUCAGUGGAGAAAUCUGUUGAGUGGAAGCUCUCAAACUCAGGGAAACCUAAAUCCUCUCUUGGCCCGCGCAGUUGCGCUCAGUGCCGCUGAGGACAAGGCAAUCCUGAGCCAAGCCAACUCAAACCAUCUGCCAGACAGACCGAGUUGGAAGGUGCAGAGGCCCGACGGGAGCUACCCUAACGCUAGCGGCGAGGGUAAAGGGAGGGUCCAAUUCUCAAAGCCAAGGG
rnacentral:ncRNA from 1 species